UAGCUCAGUUGGCAGAGUGCUUGCCUUGCAUGCACAAGGCCCUGGGUUCAAUUCCCAG
rnacentral:tRNA from 1 species